CGAACUAUAUACACAUUUCUUCUCAGCUGCUCUUGAUGGAAGUACUACACGACAAAAUGGGAAAUGUGCAUUUGUACCGAAGCAACAAUCUGAAUACCAUAAGCUACCGACAACAAUGAACAUCGACAGCAGCAGCGAUAUUCUCAGAAAUGAUUGACAAGAGAACACAAUAAAGAAAUAACAUCAUUUCUUGUAAAAUAAUUAUAUAAAGUGUAUUUAGAAAGAGUUCCUAUAAGUCAGAUUGUAAUUUUGUAAUUUUACAAUAAUUUCAUUCUGUCGUUUGAUCGAUAGAACUAAAAUAACUCUUCUCAUAUGGCAAUUGGAAAUGACGAUCAAAAGUUGUGUUCAUGGUGUGUGAAGCGGUGGUGUGGCGCAGCGUUUUACCGAUCAUUUUUGAAUCUCCACUCGUCAGUACAUAGCUUUAAACGUUUGCUUUCAGUCAACUUCGUACGGCCCGGUACGAACUCAGAUUGCUGUGUAUACGCAUAUUUCUCCCACCAAACCAAAGCACUGGAGAAAGAAAUGUGCAUAUAGUUCGAUCCUCUGACCGCUAGGGGGUGGUAAUUCGUGGAACAUAUUUUUGGCUGAAUUCGUAAUUUCCCUAUUCGUUUUUGAUGCUGCACCACGCGGCCAAGCACCGAAGUUCCACGCUAGAUAUACAAGAAACUAUUUAGUUCCACAAACGAGCUAUACUCGCUGUGAUUCCACGUUAUAAGAGCCUAUUUCAUUAUACGGUUCCAUGGAAAACUAU